AGUGUGAUCCAGCACAAGCCAAUUCAUGUGAUUCUGGUUGCAGUGGAGGACUAAUGAACAACGCUUUUGAGUACGCUCUUAAAGCUGGUGGUCUAAUGAAGGAAGAGGACUAUCCUUAUACAGGACGUGACCAUACCGCUUGUAAGUUCGACAAGAGCAAGAUUGUUGCGAGUGUGUCUAACUUCAGCGUUGUCUCUUCGGAUGAAGACCAAAUCGCUGCUAAUCUAGUCCAGCAUGGACCUCUAGCUAGUAAGUUUGGAAAAUCUGUUUACCUUGU
rnacentral:sRNA from 1 species